GCCUGGCUGGCUCAGUCAGUACAGCAUAGGACUCUUGACCUUCAGGUCAUGAGUUCAAGCCCCAUGUUGGGUG
rnacentral:tRNA from 1 species